AGAGUUUGAUCAUGGCUCAGAUUGAACGCUGGCGGCAGGCUUAACACAUGCAAGUCGAGCGGAAACGAUGGGAGCUUGCUCCCAGGCGUCGAGCGGCGGACGGGUGAGUAAUACUUAGGAAUCUGCCCAGUAGUGGGGGAUAGCUCGGGGAAACUCGAAUUAAUACCGCAUACACCCUACGGGGAAAAGGGGGCGCUUGCGCUCUCGCUAUUGGAUGAGCCUAAGUCGGAUUAGCUAGUUGGUGGGGUAAAGGCCUACCAAGGCGACGAUCUGUAGCUGGUCUGAGAGGAUGAUCAGCCACAUCGGGACUGAGACACGGCCCGGACUCCUACGGGAGGCAGCAGUGGGGAAUAUUGGACAAUGGGGGCAACCCUGAUCCAGCCAUGCCGCGUGUGUGAAGAAGGCCUUUUGGUUGUAAAGCACUUUAAGCAGUGAAGAAGACCUAACGGUUAAUACCCGUUAGCGAUGACAUUAGCCGCAGAAUAAGCACCGGCUAACUCUGUGCCAGCAGCCGCGGUAAUACAGAGGGUGCAAGCGUUAAUCGGAAUUACUGGGCGUAAAGCGAGCGUAGGUGGCUUGAUAAGUCAGAUGUGAAAUCCCCGGGCUUAACCUGGGAACUGCAUCUGAUACUGUUAGGCUAGAGUAGGUGAGAGGGAGGUAGAAUUUCAGGUGUAGCGGUGAAAUGCGUAGAGAUCUGAAGGAAUACCGAUGGCGAAGGCAGCCUCCUGGCAUCAUACUGACACUGAGGUUCGAAAGCGUGGGUAGCAAACAGGAUUAGAUACCCUGGUAGUCCACGCCGUAAACGAUGUCUACUAGUCGU
rnacentral:rRNA from 1 species